rnacentral:rRNA from 1 species
UACGAAGGGGGCUAGCGUUGCUCGGAAUCACUGGGCGUAAAGCGCACGUAGGCGGAUGUGUCAGUCAGGGGUGAAAUCCCGGAGCUCAACUUCGGAACUGCCUCUGAUACAGCACGUCUUGAGUCCGAGAGAGGUGGGUGGAAUUCCUAGUGUAGAGGUGAAAUUCGUAGAUAUUAGGAAGAACACCAGUGGCGAAGGCGGCCCACUGGCUCGGUACUGACGCUGAGGUGCGAAAGCGUGGGGAGCAAACAGG